GUAGUUCCGUUCCAUUGAUUGAUUCCAUCCAUCAAACUCGAAGCGCAGGCCCUAAGCUUCCCUCACCCAGCCCUCAUCUCAUCUGUCUGUGUCGAAUUCCAGCCAGCCACUGGCCCACCACCACACCAUACUAUCGUCUUUUACUCUCCAAUUUUCCUUCACCACACAGCCACUGCUGUCUCUUGCGAUCUCUCUCUUCAGGCGAUUUUCUCUCACGGACAGAACUUGCGAUCUUUCUCAUCACCACACCGAGUCCGAGUCUCACUCUCACCCUAAAUUAGGUUGUUUUUCUUGAACCUGCUGAUUCUCUACUAAUUAUUUCCUAGUAGCACUGUUGCUAGUGAAAAUGCCUUUAGUCUUGGUUGGAGAGUUGUUGAUCAUUUUAGAACUUCCUUAACACCUAAAAGUUGAGGCUUUAGUGUGUACUAGUGUUUGGCUUAGAGGAAAUGAAUUUUGUUUCUACAAGGAGCCUACACUUGACGAAUUCCAUUUCUACAAGGAGCUUGAACGCUUAGAAAGAUGCACGGUUAAUUUGAGAGGUGAGGAGAAUACAACACAAGAAAAUGAAAUACCACCUCCACCUCCUCGACCACCUCAAGUUCAAGUUCAACAACGUCAAAAUCAAUCACUACCUCCACGACCACCCAUUGUAAGGGGAAGGGCUCAAGCAUCAACAUCAAGGGGAAGAGUACAAGUACCAACAAGAAGGGAGCAACCACAAGCAUAAAAAAGAUCAAGGGGCCGAAGAGGCCAACAAUCUUCAUAAAUUUUAAGCUUUGCUUUUUUGCUUUUGGUUUGUAACUUAAUUAUUGAAACUUUGGCUCGUAACUAAUUUUUUUUGCUUUUGGGUUUGUAACUUAAUUAUUGAAACUUUGGCUCGUAACAAAUUCCAUGGUAAGCUGCAAUGAAAAGAAAAAAGGCUCGGACCAUAGAAUCAGGGAGA